rnacentral:rRNA from 1 species
UACAGGGGGGGCAAGCGUUGUUCGGAAUUAUUGGGCGUAAAGAGCUUGUAGGCGGUUUGUCGCGUCUGCUGUGAAAUUUCGGGGCUCAACCCCGAACUUGCAGUGGGUACGGGCAGACUAGAGUGUGGUAGGGGAGACUGGAAUUCCUGGUGUAGCGGUGAAAUGCGCAGAUAUCAGGAGGAACACCGAUGGCGAAGGCAGGUCUCUGGGCCACUACUGACGCUGAGAAGCGAAAGCAUGGGGAGCGAGCAGG